rnacentral:rRNA from 1 species
GGCUUAUGAGACGUGCCUUCGGCUAGAUCUCCCACCCUUUGUAUACUAUACCUUUGUUGCCUUGGCAGGCCCGUCUCCGGACCGCUGGCUUCGGCUGGCCCGCGCCUGUCAGAGGACUCCAAACUCUUUUGUUAAUGUCGUCUGAGUACUAUUUUAAUAGUUAAAACUUUCAACAACGGAUCUCUUGGUUCUGGCAUCGAUGAAGAACGCAGCGAAAUGCGAUAAGUAAUGUGAAUUGCAGAAUUCAGUGAAUCAUCGAAUCUUUGAACGCACAUUGCGCCCUCUGGUAUUCCGGGGGGCAUGCCUGUUCGAGCGUCAUUACAACCCUCAAGCUCAGCUUGGUAUUGGGCCUCGCCGUCUGGCGGGCCUUAAAAUCAGUGGCGGUGCCGUCUGGCUCCAAGCGUAGUAAUUUUUCUCUCGCUUUCGGAGGCCGGCGUGUGCUUGCCAACAACCCCCAAUUUUUUCAGGUUGACCUCGGAUCAGGUAGGGAUACCCGCUGAACUUAAGCAUAUCAAUAAGCGGAGGAA